rnacentral:tRNA from 2 species
GGGCAAUUAGCUCAGUUGGUUAGAGCGCUAUCUUGACAUGGUAGAGGUCGCUGGUUCGAGUCCAGUAUUGCCCACCA